rnacentral:snoRNA from 1 species
GCUCUCAAUGAUGAUAUGGCCACCACUUCUUCUUGGGCCGGGCCGGCCUGCCACAAACGGCCAUUGCAAUUUUGGCCUUUUCUGAUAGGCCGCUGUCUCAGCUUGGCCUUUUCUGAACCCUGAAGACAGC